UGGCGGACGGGUGAGUAACGCGUGGGCAACCUGCCCCGUACCGGGGGAGUAACAGCCGGAAACGGCUGCUAAUACCGCAUACGCUUGGAAGGCCGCAUGGCUUUUCAAGCAAAACUCCGGUGGUACGGGAUGGGCCCGCGUCUGAUUAGCUUGUUGGCGGGGUAACGGCCCACCAAGGCGACGAUCAGUAGCCGGCCUGAGAGGGCGGCCGGCCACAUUGGGACUGAGACACGGCCCAGACUCCUACGGGAGGCAGCAG
rnacentral:rRNA from 1 species